rnacentral:rRNA from 1 species
UACGGAGGGUGCAAGCGUUGUCCGGAUUUAUUGGGUUUAAAGGGUGCGUAGGCGGCUAAUUAAGUCAGCGGUGAAAUUCCACAGCUCAACUGUGGAACUGCCAUUGAUACUGGUUGGCUUGAGUACAGAUGAGGUAGGCGGAAUUGACAGUGUAGCGGUGAAAUGCUUAGAUAUUGGGAGGAACACCAGUGGCGAAGGCGGCGAUCUGGGAAGAUACUGACGCUGAGGUGCGAAAGCGUGGGGAGCAAACAGG